GACGAACGCUGGCGGCGUGCCUAAUACAUGCAAGUAGGACGCAGUUGCGAACGUGUGAGUAACGAGUCGGUAACUGCCUAUUAGAGGGGGAUAACUAUUGGAAACGAUAGCUAAUACCGCCUACUAGUAGAUUGACCUGCUUUGUAUUAGCUAGUAGGUAGGGUAAUGGCCUACCUAGGCGACGAUACAUAGCCGAACUGAGAGGGUGAUCGGGCAAAAUGGGACGGAGGACCGGCCCAGACUCCUACGGGAGGCAGCAGUAGGGAAUCUUCGGCAAGUGGGGGAACGCUGACCGCGCAACGCCGCGGGAGUGAAGAAGGGUUUCGGAUCGUAAAGCUCUGUUGUUAAGGAAGCGGUACUUAAACAGAAAGGGACGGCUAACUACGUGCCAGCAGCCGCGGUAAUUC
rnacentral:rRNA from 1 species